rnacentral:rRNA from 1 species
UACGUAGGGUGCAAGCGUUGUCCGGAAUUAUUGGGCGUAAAGAGCUCGUAGGCGGUCUGUCGCGUCUGCUGUGAAAACUCGCAGCUUAACUGCGGGCUUGCGGUUGAUACGGGCGGGCUAGAGUUCGGUAGGGGAGACUGGAAUUCCUGGUGUAGCGGUGAAAUGCGCAGAUAUCAGGAGGAACACCGGUGGCGAAGGCGGGUCUCUGGGCCGAUACUGACGCUGAGGAGCGAAAGCGUGGGGAGCGAACAGG